rnacentral:misc_RNA from 1 species
GUGAACGCCCUCACGGGCUUAUACUAUUCCAAACCUCUGUGAACCGUGCCCUUCGGGGCUAUUUCACAAACAUGGUGUAAUGAACGUCAUAUAUCAUAACAAAACA